rnacentral:rRNA from 1 species
ACUUAAAUUGAAGAGUUUGAUCAUGGCUCAGAUUGAACGCUGGCGGCAGGCCUAACACAUGCAAGUCGAGCGGUAGCACAGAGAGCUUGCUCUCGGGUGACGAGCGGCGGACGGGUGAGUAAUGUCUGGGAAACUGCCUGAUGGAGGGGGAUAACUACUGGAAACGGUAGCUAAUACCGCAUAAUGUCGCAAGACCAAAGUGGGGGACCUUCGGGCCUCAUGCCAUCAGAUGUGCCCAGAUGGGAUUAGCUAGUAGGUGGGGUAACGGCUCACCUAGGCGACGAUCCCUAGCUGGUCUGAGAGGAUGACCAGCCACACUGGAACUGAGACACGGUCCAGACUCCUACGGGAGGCAGCAGUGGGGAAUAUUGCACAAUGGGCGCAAGCCUGAUGCAGCCAUGCCGCGUGUGUGAAGAAGGCCUUCGGGUUGUAAAGCACUUUCAGCGGGGAGGAAGGCGUUAAGGUUAAUAACCUUGUCGAUUGACGUUACCCGCAGAAGAAGCACCGGCUAACUCCGUGCCAGCAGCCGCGGUAAUACGGAGGGUGCAAGCGUUAAUCGGAAUUACUGGGCGUAAAGCGCACGCAGGCGGUCUGUCAAGUCGGAUGUGAAAUCCCCGGGCUCAACCUGGGAACUGCAUUCGAAACUGGCAGGCUAGAGUCUUGUAGAGGGGGGUAGAAUUCCAGGUGUAGCGGUGAAAUGCGUAGAGAUCUGGAGGAAUACCGGUGGCGAAGGCGGCCCCCUGGACAAAGACUGACGCUCAGGUGCGAAAGCGUGGGGAGCAAACAGGAUUAGAUACCCUGGUAGUCCACGCCGUAAACGAUGUCGAUUUGGAGGUUGUGCCCUUGAGGCGUGGCUUCCGGAGCUAACGCGUUAAAUCGACCGCCUGGGGAGUACGGCCGCAAGGUUAAAACUCAAAUGAAUUGACGGGGGCCCGCACAAGCGGUGGAGCAUGUGGUUUAAUUCGAUGCAACGCGAAGAACCUUACCUGGUCUUGACAUCCACAGAACUUGGUGCCUUCGGGAACUGUGAGACAGGUGCUGCAUGGCUGUCGUCAGCUCGUGUUGUGAAAUGUUGGGUUAAGUCCCGCAACGAGCGCAACCCUUAUCCUUUGUUGCCAGCGGUCCGGCCGGGAACUCAAAGGAGACUGCCAGUGAUAAACUGGAGGAAGGUGGGGAUGACGUCAAGUCAUCAUGGCCCUUACGACCAGGGCUACACACGUGCUACAAUGGCAUAUACAAAGAGAAGCGACCUCGCGAGAGCAAGCGGACCUCAUAAAGUAUGUCGUAGUCCGGAUUGGAGUCUGCAACUCGACUCCAUGAAGUCGGAAUCGCUAGUAAUCGUAGAUCAGAAUGCUACGGUGAAUACGUUCCCGGGCCUUGUACACACCGCCCGUCACACCAUGGGAGUGGGUUGCAAAAGAAGUAGGUAGCUUAACCUUCGGGAGGGCGCUUACCACUUUGUGAUUCAUGACUGGGGUGAAGUCGUAACAAGGUAACCGUAGGGGAACCUGCGGUUGGAUCACCUCCUUACCUUAAAGAA